rnacentral:rRNA from 1 species
UACGUAGGUGACAAGCGUUGUCCGGAAUUAUUGGGCGUAAAGGGAGCGCAGGCGGUUGGAAUAGUCUGAUGUGAAAGCCCACGGCUUAACCGUGGAAGGUCAUUGGAAACUGUCCAACUUGAAUGCAGAAGAGGUAAGUGGAAUUCCAUGUGUAGCGGUGAAAUGCGUAGAUAUAUGGAGGAACACCAGUGGCGAAGGCGACUUACUGGUCUGUAAUUGACGCUGAGGCUCGAAAGCGUGGGUAGCGAACAGGAUUAGAUACCCGCGUA